GCGGGAGCGUGCGCAGAAGCCGCUGCCCGUCGGGCCCCUCUCCCUUAGCCGGUGCCCUCUCCCCAGCUCGCCUCUCCCUCUAGCUGUGCUGUGUUUUCCUCUGAAAGGUUGACAGGUGUCUCUGUGCCAGGGUGGGCACAGCAGUGCAUAGGUUGCUAAUGACAGGGAAGAAAACAAAGGCAAAAAAUGGGGCUGGGGAACAGAAGGCGGUGCCACCCGCCGCAGAGGGGUUCUCCCUGUUCCCAGAAAAGAUGGUUUUCUUUGGGGACUCCGUCAAGCGUCAUAGGAUCGACUGAUACAGUUCCUUUCUCCUUUGGAGAAAAAGCCUUCUUAGGUUCUUCAAAUAAACCUCAGUUUUCCUUCCAAUAAAACUUUUUUUAAAUGUUUAGUGCGUUCAUUAGUUUGCUUUUUCUCUUUUUCUUAUUUCCCCUUUCCAGAACCUUAGUUAGUGUCUUACCCGACUGUGUCCUAUUUGAGGAAACUGUUGGACCGAGCAGGAAGGGGCUUUUAAGCAGCCUUGGCUGGGGCCCAGGACAUCAGAACCAAGCCCAGUUAAAAUAUUCCGGAGUUAUACUUCAGAAUAAUCAGUGCUUGAAGCUCCCUACAACCUAAUGAUUACAGUAUUUGACCACUGGCUUCAUUCCUGCGAUGUGACGUCCUACAAGGAAAGACAGAGGCACGUGCAAGUGUUCAGAUUUUACACAUUGUAAUAAAUACAGUAAUUAUGGGGCAUGCUUAAUUAGCCUCCUGUGAGCUGAGAGGCAUUCUUAAGUGUCAUAGAUGUCCUUCCCACUUGUGUGGUACACUGCACAGUAUGUAGGGCAGCAGUAUGCC
rnacentral:lncRNA from 1 species